rnacentral:SRP_RNA from 11 species
UUGCAUCAUUAGGUUACCACGAGGGCCGGAAUCGUUCCUGGGCAGCCCUGCCCCAAUCUGCAGGUCCGCCUCCCGACUCCUGCUGUGAGGAAUCGGCCGGUCCCGAACUUCCGCGGGGUCUCUGACCCGCUCCGCCCGCUCCAGGGG